rnacentral:rRNA from 1 species
ACGAACGCUGGCGGCGUGCUUCACACAUGCAAGUCGAACGGAAAGGCCCUGCUUUUGUGGGGUGAUCGAGUGGCGAACGGGUGAGUAACACGUGAGUAACCUGCCCUUGACUUUGGGAUAACUUCAGGAAACUGGGGCUAAUACCGGAUAGGAGCUCCUGCUGCAUGGUGGGGGUUGGAAAGUUUCGGCGGUUGGGGAUGGACUCGCGGCUUAUCAGCUUGUUGGUGGGGUAGUGGCUUACCAAGGCUUUGACGGGUAGCCGGCCUGAGAGGGUGACCGGCCACAUUGGGACUGAGAUACGGCCCAGACUCCUACGGGAGGCAGCAGUGGGGAAUAUUGCACAAUGGGCGGAAGCCUGAUGCAGCAACGCCGCGUGCGGGAUGACGGCCUUCGGGUUGUAAACCGCUUUCGCCUGUGACGAAGCGUGAGUGACGGUAAUGGGUAAAGAAGCACCGGCUAACUACGUG